rnacentral:lncRNA from 1 species
ACGCAUGCUUCUAUAUAACAAUUUUAAUAAUUCGUAAGAUAAUUAUUGGAUUUUUUUAAGCGGAAUUAGUCAAAACAAAGUCGUCGAGUUAUAGAUAAGAUAGAAGUGACACCAUAAUUCUUUUUUUUUGUAAAAAUGAUGAUAUGUACUUUUUUGUUUCCAUUUCAUUCAUUUUCCGUUUUCCAACAACUCAAAAGCGAACAACAGUCAACCGAACCGAUCAAGAAAGAGCGAACCGAUCAAGAAAGAGACUCGAGAACAAACAAACCAGAACCAUAACCAAAGACCCACAACGGACUCGAGAACAAACAAACCAGAACCAUAACCAAUACCAGUAACCAAAGAGCACAGACGCUCAGACCUAAUUCAACUAAAGCGAACACUCGAUAAUGCAAAAACAGGAUAAUUGGACUAGAUCAUCGGAUCUGAUCCAUUCUCUAACUCCUCCAGCUACCACCGUCAGAGUCACCGCCACUCCUGGAGGAGUAACGGGAACCACCACCAUAACCCCCAUCACUACGGUCACGGCCGCCUCCAUAACCACCGCCUCCAUAGCCGCCGCCUCCUUCACGGCUUCCAUACGAUCGGCCACCGCCGCCUCCGUAUCCACCUUCUCUGCGUCCACCGCCGUAUCCACGGCCACCACCGCCUCCUCCUGAGCUGCCGCGAGACUGAGCCUCGUUGACUGUGAUGUUACGGCCGUCAAGAUUCUGUCCGUUCAUCCCUUCGAUGGCAUCCUUCAUCGACUUCUCGUUGUUAAAGGUCACGAAUCCGAAUCCCCGAGAUCUUCCGGUCUCACGGUCGUUGAUCACCUGUAGACAGCAAAACAAACAAAAGAAGUUGACAGAUCCGUUAGAUCUGAGCAUAGAACGAAUGAAUUUGAACAAAAACUGAGCUGAGAAUAUGGAAAAUUAAAAAAAAAAUCGAUCGAUCUUCUCCCAAAGGAUGAAGACGGACGUACCGAUUGGAGAUAGUUUUAGAGAGUAGAGUAACAUAAAACAGAGUAACACAGUAACAGAGAAUAGUAACAGAGAAACACAGAUCAGAUCGGAUAGAACACAGGAUCCUGGAUCAGACAUAGCCGGAAUAAGUUCGUUUCCGUCAGAUCCCGAUCCCUGCGAAACCACCGUGGUGACAAACGGACCUUCGAUUCGACGACUUCGCCAAAGGUGCUGAAGGCCUCGUUGAGUGCAUCGUCGUUGGUAGCCCAUGCUAGGCCACCAACGAAGCACCUGUACUCAACAUCGGCGGAAGCCAUUAUAGAACUGAAAUUGAGAGUAAAAACUAGCAGAUAAUGCGGCUGCCGAUUUUGCGUUGAGGAUGAGGAGAAAUGGGCGGAGGGAUUGUGGGGAUUAUAUAGUCGGGGGAUAGGGCUUAACUAGGGCUAGUUGUACCUCUUUCGACGUCGUUUUGGAUUCCGGGAGCCGGCUGGGAGUCCAGUUAUCAAAUUCUUACCUUGGUUGGGAACAAGGUUACGUAACGUUCGCGUUGGUUAAACCCUGGUUAAGGUUUAGUUAGAGGGCGGGAUAUUUUAUCUUAAAGAUAUUUUAUGAUAACUGGUUAGUUAAUGCUCAAACUUUAUGUAAUUACAAUCCGCACUAGUUUCCAAUUAAUUGGGAGGGACAAUACUCGUUAUGUAUAAUAUAAAGAAAGAAAAAUGUUUAACUAAAUUGUGAGAAAUUUUUAUUGUAUCUCUUUUUAAAAUGAACUUAAUAAGAUAUAAUUACACAUCAUAGAUUGACAUUCUAAUGAUAUAUCUAAAUUCAAUUUGUUCUUCGUAUUAGCUUUGUGUAAUUUAAAAUUUAACUAGUUAUUUAAUGCUUAAACUUCAUGUAAAUACAAUCAACAGAGUCGGAUUUAUAUGAAUUCAUUAUCCAUUCGAUGUAUUUUUGGAUUCGGGGAAUCCCCGCCCGAUGAUAGCAAUUGGAUUUAGAUUUUAUACCAUUCCCGCCCAUCGCCGAAUUUCGGAUUUGGUCUGAUAUCCAAAUUUGAUCUGAAACAUACUAAACCAAGAUUGAAACCUGAGUUUAAAUCAAAGCAAAAUCAACCAAACACCGUCAAAUUAUCCAAAAUACUAAAAUUUAGUUAACAACCUUCAUUAGCAAAACUCAUUAUACCAACUAGCAACUUAAACUAAACAUAAUCCCUCCAACAGAAAUAUAAACCAAACUAAUCUAGAGUUUUUUUUUGCAGGUAUAUAUACUUUCAGGCGGAAUAUGAUCGGAUACCAGUGCAUCCGAUACUCACCCGGUCAAACAUGAUUUUUCCUGCGUUGACCAGAUAGAAUUCGGACGGUUUUUCAAAUUUCCAGAUGAAAAUGGCAAGCCUAAUCAAAAUUUACAAACUGAAUUGGCUUUUAUGUAAGAGUUAGGGUGGUUAGACGAUGAAUCUAUUAAAGUUGGUGGAGGGAAACUAGAAAUAUAUCCGGCCAAGUGGGACUGGACUCUCUUUAACCAUGGUUAGGUGUGAGUUGCGGGGUUCGCGGCGGUGGUGGGAAAUAAACUACUCACUGAUUCAGAGAGAGAGAGAGAGAGAGAGCGGCCAAGUGAGCCCCACUUUGCAGUCCCCGCCAAUACAUGCUGAGUUGUAAAUUUCCAGAGCGGAUAUUUUUAUGUGCUUUUCUCAAAAUAUCUACUCCGCCGAAAGUACAACUUUGCCCCUCCCUCCCUAACUACUCCACUGGUGCAAUUUCCGUUAAUUACUUUUUAGGUGGAGGUGGUCCCCAGAAAAUUGUUUUAUUAAUAUUUAAUACCACAAAAAAGGAAACUAAUUAGAGUUCAUCACUUUUAUAGUUUCAUUUUUACUGUACAUUCUAAUUCUUCCAGUCCCUGUACAAAUCAGUCAACUUUCACCAACACUCAAUCAUGAAAAAGGAUAUCAAGAAGCUUUUUGACGAUAAUCGAUCUAUUCGUUGUGAAUAUUUCACGAAGUUAUAAAUUAAUCUUCGAGUUCUCAAUUUAACAUGGGCAACAUGACUUUAAACUUGUACCAUGACCGUAAACUGUUGAAUCAUACGGUUCUGAAUUGUAGUUGAACAAUGAAGAAACUAUAAUUAUAUCGAGAUUGUAUAUAACUUUAAGAUGAGUGUUUCAUGGUGAGAUUAAUACGACUUAGAAAACAGUCAAACCGAAACAGUUAAAUGGGCUAUAAUUAGUUCGAACUACUGGUUGGGCCAGCCCAUUCAUGUAUUUUUAAUUCAGUUUUUUUCAUAUUGUCAUUAGCUUUGUUUACGGGCCUACUUUAUCUUAAAAUUGGGCAUUGUUUUACAGUGUGGGCUAGGAAGUUUCGGCCUAUUUACGGUUUAUGAAAGUCUUAAAACGAGGCGACUUAAAGCCCACAAUUGGAAGUUUAUUAUGUAAAUCAAAACUGGCCCGUAAAUGCUGAGUCGAUAAUCGGGAGGUCAAACUGUCGAGAGAACGUGCAUUUAUAGUAGAAAAUAAAAUGUCUACUAUCGACGCAAACACAAGACAAAAGAAUAUAUAUACACAUUAACCGAUUUCGAUUUGAGAAUUUCGCCAGUAACACUGAUGGUUUUUUGGACAUAAUGAUAAAAAUAGAUUAUAGAGGAAAGGGGGGGAAGGUAUGUAACUCACAUGAAUAAUAAUCCAAAAACUCAAAGUAGUUAGGGUUUCAUUGUCAUCCAGAGUUGUUUGUUUAUAAAAGUUAGAACUACAAUAUAAGAAGGCCACACGUAUUGAUAAAGUUGUGUGACUUAAACUUCCAUCAAAAGAUACUACACCCCAAAUAUGCUAAUACUUAAUUAAUAAUAAUAAUAAUAAUGUAUAUGUUGCACACACAAAAUCAAUUUUAGGGUUAGGAUUUGAUGUUUCAACCUCAAUUUAUUAGAGUGGAAUUAAUAUUUUUAAUAUACAUAUUGAGGGAAAUCAUCCUUGUUUAUCCUUAUAGAGGUUGUAAAACCCUAAUUUAUUUGAUAGUGUUGUUGAGGGUUGAGGUGGUAGCAUGUGGGUGAUUAGAUCUGUAUGCGCAUUCUAAUUGUUAUAGGCUGUCGUUAUGAUUUCGUUAGAAAAAUGUCACACAAACCCUUUGAGGCAAUAACCUAAUUAGGGCGAAGUUCACCAAGUUGCGGGGCUUGAGCGACUUGUAUUUGAGAUGCGGCUUGUUUGGCCCUUGGGCUGUCAACGGUCCCUUAACUAUCGUUAAGAUUGUUGACUAGUGACGGACGAUUAACUUCUUACCGUCAGCUUUUACCUAUAGGUCCAAAAAAUCAAGAUAGGAGUAGUAUCGAUCUCCAUUUGUUUAGUUUAAUGAAGAUUAAAUAAUUUCGAUCUAAAUAUUUUUUAAAUAAUUCAAAAGCCACAUCUACCGAAUGAAAUUUCAAAUUCAGUUCCAUGACACUUCCUCCAACACAACCCGCUGCGGAGACAUUCCUCCCCACUUUGUCUAAUCUAACUAAAACUGAAAUUAGGAGUCCAAAUGAGUCAACUAAAACUCAUCACUUUAGUUCCAAUGAAAUAACCAAUGUAUAACAUUCUAAUUAAUUCAAGUACUUUGUGACAGAAAAUCUAAUUCGAAACCAUGAUGAUAUUUUUCGACAUAUACCUAAAUUUCGUGACAUUCUAAAGUUCUUUGCCAAAAAUAAAAGAUUCAAAUUCAAGUCCGGUGCUAAAUUUUAAUUCAAGUAACCGUCCCAAAUUCGUCUCUGUACAUAACAUCAACCACUAGAAAAAGUUAUUACAAAAUUAGUGGAAUAUCAGAAAGAUCCACAGAAAAAUGGUCAAAUAAUAAGCCAAAAUUAGCAAAGGAAUAUAUGUUUUCGGGGGGAAAAAACAAAGGCUAUGAGGUUGAAGUUUGUCCAGAUCGUUAGAAUUUCGUAUGUGGGAAUUGGUGGGAACUGUGAGUUUAUCCCUAUGUCAUUUCAGUAAUUAAAUUCUUUAAUUAAUCAGUCAAAACACUUUUUGAUUUUUAUGGGUUUGGUUAAGCAAUUAAUUAAAUUAAAUUAUACCGACUAUAGCUUAUAUGAUGCGACUUGCAUAACAAACCCUUACCAAUCUUUGAUUUUAAAAUCUUAACAUAAUGUUUAAUUAUGUGCAUAGUUUACAAAUUAAUUAAUUAAUUUGUAGAUGUGGGAUAGUGUAUGUAACACUAUGCACCGCCCAAUGUAAGUACCUCCCUGCACGUUGUUAACAUUGCAGAUGGUAGCUUGCAAUUGACCCGAAAUUGUAUCAAUGAUUCCAUUAACAAUCAUUUUUUUGAGUUAAAAGUUCGUUAUUGAUUCGCCUAAAUAUUAUAUGGUAGAUGUUGUUCACGUUGAAAGUUCAAUCAUUCAAUCGGUUUCAUUUGAUUCGUGACACGUCAAUUAUAAUAACUGUGACAAGGCAGCCUCCAUAUUGGCUCAAACUCAUUGAUUCGUGAGGAUUUAAAUGGCUUGCAAGGCAAGUAAUUAAUUGCCAUUAUAAUUGGGUAAAAUUAUAUAUGGCCACUUACAAUGCUUUAGCAAUAAGGCUGGUAUUCUUUUGCAAUCAAACUUACUGAGACCCAAAGAACGAGUAACAGUCUCAACGUGGCUUUUCCGGCCCGAUGCAAUGUUACCACGCAUACGCAUGCAGGGGUCGGAUAUGUCUAGGCUGCCGACUCUCUUUUUUCUUCUGUCGCGACAAAUACGUGUUAAUUAUUCGAACAGCUGAAAAAAGCGUCAACACGGUAAUCGAACAUCGGAUAUGGGCCGGAACACACGCAAUCACGAUCGGGACAAGCUAUCGAAAAAGGUUUUUAAAAAUAACGAAACAAAUCCAAAAACCGGAUGGACUAGUUACCUAGCCGACCAAUCGAUCAUAAGGUUAAAGGGAAGGUCUAAGUCUCAAUAAAUCGAAAGUGCCACGAAGAGGGGUGAUAACCCGACUACGAUAAACCAAAUCCGUUAUCCUAGAAACGACGUGCUAAAAAUAACUAAGCCGAAAUUUGCUUAACGAACCGAGACCACUUGUGGGCUUCGACUCCAAACUCGUUUCUCCUUACUUCCAACGGCCUAAUUACUCUUCGAAUGACACAUUAAACUCCUGGUCUAGAGAUGAUACGAGAAAAGUUUUCUCAUUUGGGCCAGAGUGCGACUUGAUGUAAUCCUUAUACGCAACUUUGACACGAAUCCUGAUGAGAUCAGGACUGUCCCGAAUACUGUUUCAUCACACCACCAAACAGUACUUAGAAAGAAGUAAAAGCUUUCAUUCAAAGGCUGUGCAUGGCUAGCUAGCUGCUGACCCAACAAAGUUGAUUUCAUUUCAUUUCCUCCAACUUCCCCAACCACUCACAUUAUUUGGGGCGAGUGUCUAUAUGACCCACUCAAAUUGAAGUUUUCCAUUUUUAGGGUAAUUUGGUUUCCAUGUAUUUUUCGUAUCGAUCAUGCGACGAAUCAUCCUCAUUUUGUAAUAGUAGAUAUUAGAUGUCUUAAUAUGGUAAUUGGGCAUCAAAUAAAAAAAACGACACGUUAGCUAGUAAGUAAUCACGACUCACUAAUUAUAUAUCAAUCAAAAAAUUGUGCAUGUUAUAUAUGGCUAUAUAUCGAUUCACCUUAAUUAAAGUUCUCCCAUUUUUAGGGUAGAACAAAUAAGUGAUCAUAACUUACUGAAAUAUCAAACUGCUCAAAUUUGGUAUACUUAAACAUUGAAUUUUUUAAAAUCAAAUAGUUCUCAAACAUAUUCUCAAUCUUACAUAAUCAGAGUAUGACAUAUUUACGAACAUAAUAUGAUUUGUUUUAUUAUUUUUAUAUUUCAAUUCACCAUCAAACCNNNNNNNNNNNNNNNNNNNNNNNNNNNNNNNNNNNNNNNNNNNNNNNNNNNNNNNNNNNNNNNNNNNNNNNNNNNNNNNNNNNNNNNNNNNNNNNNNNNNNNNNNNNNNNNNNNNNNNNNNNNNNNNNNNNNNNNNNNNNNNNNNNNNNNNNNNNNNNNNNNNNNNNNNNNNNNNNNNNNNNNNNNNNNNNNNNNNNNNNNNNNNNNNNNNNNNNNNNNNNNNNNNNNNNNNNNNNNNNNNNNNNNNNNNNNNNNNNNNNNNNNNNNNNNNNNNNNNNNNNNNNNNNNNNNNNNNNNNNNNNNNNNNNNNNNNNNNNNNNNNNNNNNNNNNNNNNNNNNNNNNNNNNNNNNNNNNNNNNNNNNNNNNNNNNNNNNNNNNNNNNNNNNNNNNNNNNNNNNNNNNNNNNNNNNNNNNNNNNNNNNNNNNNNNNNNNNNNNNNNNNNNNNNNNNNNNNNNNNNNNNNNNNNNNNNNNNNNNNNNNNNNNNNNNNNNNNNNNNNNNNNNNNNNNNNNNNNNNNNNNNNNNNNNNNNNNNNNNNNNNNNNNNNNNNNNNNNNNNNNNNNNNNNNNNNNNNNNNNNNNNNNNNNNNNNNNNNNNNNNNNNNNNNNNNNNNNNNNNNNNNNNNNNNNNNNNNNNNNNNNNNNNNNNNNNNNNNNNNNNNNNNNNNNNNNNNNNNNNNNNNNNNNNNNNNNNNNNNNNNNNNNNNNNNNNNNNNNNNNNNNNNNNNNNNNAUAAAAAUGCUUGAUAACAACCUCCGUUGGAAUUUUGAUUAUCAACUUAAGCGAUUAAGAUAGGAUUGCUUCAAAAUCUACAGCUACAUGCCAACUCCACACAAUCACACAAAUUACGAUUAUUUAAUUAUUACACAUAAUCAAAUCAAAUCAAGGGUUUAAAUUAGAAAUAUAAAAAAUAUAAAAAAAUUAGUUUCCAUUUUCUUUUUUCUUUUGUUUUCCUGGUCAUUUAUGAAUCGUGUAAGAGUAGGAGUGUGUUCUUUCAGAGAGAGGCAACGUAAAAUAAAAAAGCUUAGCUGGCACGAGAGAGCGGGACACCCGGGAAAGUCAAAGGUCAAACCACCGCCGUCCUCCGCCGCACAUUUCUUCCCCGGCGGCCGCCCACAAACCCUCUUCCUUCUUUCUUCCCUCAGUCAUUUGAUCCAUUCAAAUACUUUUCGUCAUCCCACACAUGGGUUCCGUCUCUGUAGUUCAUUUCCACUAAUAAUCACUUCUCAUUGUUCCCUGAUUAUUUAAUUCCCCUCCAUCUCUUUUCAACUGAAGAAAAACUGGGGUUUCGCGAUACAGAGAGUAGUAGGUAGAGAGAGACAGAUAGAUAGACAGAGAGAGAGAGAGAGAGGGAAAGGAAAUAUUAUUGGUUGCCAACAAUUUACUUUAAGGUCCCCCCCUCAACAGAAAAAUACUCAGAAGGAAGAUCAAUGGCGAAGAAAGAAGAACGGGUUUGAGGAGCUGUGAGUUUCUCUAUCAGCCAUGGUGGAUCCAGCAAAGGCAUUUGCUCUCAUAGUGUUGAAUCUGGUUGUGCUGUGGUUUCAGCCGACAUUUCAGCAGCAGAGGCUCACCUCUGGUGUAGAGCGAGCUGCUUUGUUCCAGCUGAGGUCUGAUUUGGGCAUAAGGAGUAGAGAAUGGCCUAGAAAGUCCGAGCCUUGUCAAUCUUGGGCUGGCGUUACAUGUGUCAACGGCACUGUUACUGAGAUCAACAUUUCUGGCUUUAGAAGGACUAGAUUGGGUUCACUGAACCCACAAUUUGCUGUGGAAGCACUUGCCAAUUUCACCAAGUUGACUUCUUUCAAUGCUUCCAAGUUCUUGCUCCCUGGCUCAAUCCCUGAUUCCUUUGGUCAAAUGAUGGUGAGUUCUACUUCUCUCCAGAUUCUUGAUCUCAGCUCUUGUGAUAUAACGAAUGCUGUUCCUUCAAGUUUAGGGGAUUUGAGUAGCUUGAGCCAGCUUCAUUUAGGUGGUAACCGGUUGACUGGCAUUAUACCUUCCAGUUUGGGUCAGUUGCUUCAGCUUUCUGUACUGAAUCUCUCCAGGAAUCUCUUUACCGGCUCCAUACCUUCUAGCUUUGUUAACUUGGUGAAUCUCACGAGUCUCGAUAUGUCGUCGAACUUCUUGGCUGGUUCGAUCCCUCCCAUUGGUGGGAGCGCGCUUCGAAGCUUGAAUUUCUCCAACAAUAGCUUGUCGUCUUUUCAGUUUGGGAGCCUUGUUGGAUUGGUAGACCUUGAUCUCACUAGCAAUUCGUUGUCCGGAUCCUUGCCAGUUGAGUUAAGUGGGAUGAGUAGUCUAAAAAGCUUGCUGCUUGGUAACAACUUGUUUGGUGGACCUUUGCCAUCGGGUUUGUUUGUUGCCAAUCAAACUCAGUUGCAGAAUGUGGUUCUGAGCAACAAUGAUUUCACCGGUUCUGUUCCGGGGGAAUUGCUGUCGAUUCCUGGAUUACGGUUGUUGGAUAUAUCCAGUAACAACUUUACCGGGAUGCUCUUGGAUAGUAGUAACUCGAAUGCGAAUGCGAACACUACUGCAGCAGUACUGAACAUUUCUGGAAACCAGUUCUAUGGAGGUCUUGGACCUGCGCUGAGAAGGUUCAGUUUUGUUGACCUGUCUGGGAACUAUUUUCAAGGACCGGUUCCUAACUAUGUGAUUAGCAAUGCAUCUCUUGGUAGAAACUGUCUUCGUAAUGUCACGGAUCAGAAGAGCUUGUUUGACUGUUCGUCGUUUUACUCCAGUCUCGGGUUGACUUUCGAUAAUUUUGGACUGCCGAAUUCGACUCAACCUGAUGUUAGGAAGAAGAGCAAGAGAAACCUUAUCAUAUUGGUAAGUGUCCUCGGAGGGAUCGGACUCUUGCUUUUGAUAUUUUUUGUUGUAGUUUUGGUGUUUUGCUUGCGUAAGAGGGGCACUUCGAAUCAAAGAGGGGUAGCUGUUGAACCGGCUCCAACAGGGACAGGGAUGGUUCCACCGCCUCCGGAGGCAUCGAUUAACUUCUCGAUAUUGGGAGAUACGUUCACGUAUCAGCAGCUGCUUCAAGCUACAGGUGAAUUCAACGAUGCAAACCUCAUCAAACGUGGCCACUCCGGAGAUAUCUUCCGAGGGAUAUUGGAGAACGGAACCCUCGUGGCGAUAAAAAGGAUUGAUCUUGGCGCGAUCAAGAAGGAAUCGUAUCUGGUGGAGCUUGAUUUCUUCAGUAAAGUUGCGCAUGCUAAAGUGGUUCCACUUUUGGGACAUUGCUUAGAGAAUGAGAAUGAGAAGUUGUUGGUCUACAAGUACAUGCCGAAUGGGGAUUUGGCGAGUUCGUUGUUCAGGAAAACUAGCUCGGAAGAUGAUACCUUGAAGUCGUUGGAUUGGAUUACGAGGUUGAAAAUCGCCAUCGGUGCUGCAGAAGCUCUCUCUUGCCUGCAUCAUGAAUGUACACCGCCCAUAGUGCACAGGUACUUGAAAAAGUUUAAAGCUUUAUGAUUUCUAUUAUCCAGAAGUUCAAGCAUUUUCCAUUCUUGAUAUAGUAAUCAACGAUCUAUGUAGUCUCGGCUGAAGAUGUAGUUGCUUCUGACUAUUUAGAUUUGCAUACUUCACAAUCUAUAUGUGUAUAUUCUAGUGGGAAGUUUCAUCUUAUCUUACAAAUCGUUCGAAGAGAGAUAUCUAGGAGGAGGGAAGGAGUUUAGUUGCCAUCUGCCUUUACAUCAUGUGAUGUGCUUUCUUUCGGAUGUUGUUUUCCUUACAUUAAUUACUAUGUGUGUAAUCUUCAAUGUCCAGUCACUGAAAGAAUUAUGCUUUUGUUGUAUUGUAGAGAUAUUCAAGCGAGCAGCAUAUUACUCGACGACAAAUUCGAAGUCAGGUUAGGGAGUUUGAGUGAGGUUUGUGCUCAAGAAGGGGAUGCUCAUCAAAGCAGGAUCACCAGGUUACUGCGAUUGCCGUAAGUAUCUGAAUGAAUCACCGUCUCUUGCAUUCUUUGCAUGUGUUUCUGAAGUAUCGAUAUUUCCGUGCCUUGCUGUUGAUUGAAAGAGUUUGUUAAUUCUAAUUUACCUUGUUGGAAAUUGCAGGUCUUCAGAUCAAGGAACUUCCGGUACGUAGUUGAUCUCAUUCCCCCUGAAAACUUCUCUUCAUUGCCUUAUUGUGUUUUAAAGGUUUCUUUUGUCACAAGCAACCUUUAUAACUGGUUACUGAUUUUUUUCACCCUUUGAUGGAUUCAUUCAUCCAGCUCAACCGUCAGCUACGUGCACCUACGACGUGUACUGCUUCGGCAAGGUCCUCCUCGAGCUAGUGACAGGAAACCUCGGCAUCAGCGCAGCCAACGAGGCCCAACUGAAAGAAUAUCUUGACCAGAUCAUACCGCACAUCAGCAUGUACGAGAAGGAACUCGUGGUCAAAAUAGUGGACCCGUCUCUAAUGAUCGAUGAAGACCUGCUGGAGGAAGUUUGGGCUAUGGCCAUCGUAGCAACGUCGUGUCUGAAUCCGAAACCCUCGAGGAGGCCGCUAAUGAGAUACAUCCUCAAGGCGUUGGAGAAUCCUCUCAAAGUAGUGAGGGAAGAAGCCGUGGAUUCAUCAGCAAGGCUUAGGACAACUUCGUCUCGAGGAUCGUGGAAUGCUGCCGUGUUUAGUAGCUGGCGACAGUCCUCCGAUGUGACAGUGGUCCAGCCCGGACAGGCUGGUGGGGUCGGUUCGAGCAGCCGGCCUGAAGGGGUAGGAGGAGGGAGUAGUAGUCUUAAACAGUCAGGGACAUCGAGUGGUGGGGGGCGAAACGGGAGCGGUUCUUCGUCUUCACAUAGGCGGGGUUCGAGGGAUAUCUUUCCAGAACCAGGUUAUGAGCAAGAUGUAGAGAGACAACUACAACACGAUUAGCAAGAUUGAUUCUUUUUGUUAAUAAGACAGCAGAAGCAACAGAAAGAAGCAGGCUUUCCCAUUUCGAGUGUCUGCUUAGAGUGUGUUCUUGUACAUCUGCAGAUGAUCAGAGUUUGCAGGGUGAAAUGUGGGGUUAAGGAAUCAUUUUGAUUUGUUAUGUGGGAGAGGCAGAUUGAUGUCGCAUUUGAACAGAAGCUGCCAUUUUUUUCCUGAAAUCUUUUUUCUUGUAAUUGAGGGUUCCAUUGUUCUUCUUGCUCUUUUGGAGCAGUGUAAAGGUGUAUAACUUUUUGGGGGGGAUUCUGGUGAUAUUGAAUGAGGUUGCAACCUGCAAAAAAAUUCAUCCAGAAUCUCCAAGCGAGGGAUUUCGGUGCAAAUAUCUCUAACCCAUCAAAAUCUUUCGUCAGAACGUUCUCAUUGAUCCUAUUUUGCGACCCAUCGACACUCGCCAUUAUCAUUCAAUUUCGAGCUGUGUUGUCACAUGAAUGGAGAGGUAUGACAUGACCGAUUAUCAUGAGGGAAGAGUCACUGCAUAGAUUAUUUAUGCCGUAGGCCAUGAAUUUAGGCAUUGACUGUCAUUUCAGUUGUUCUCAAGUGAAAAGUUGGUUAGUUGAAUUUGACCAUUUCCAAGGUUCUGUAAAGUCCAGAUAGUUUAGAUUCUUUUUUUGACUAUUUUUAUGAUUGAAUCCUAGAAUGAGAAGAGGACAUUAAGAGAAAUGACAAAAAUCUGGUUUCAAUUUGUGGAUAAUAAGAGAAGUUGGUAGGAAAAUAAUGAAUAAUAAAAAUGGAGGUCCCACCGAGAUUUGAACUCGGGUUACUGGAUUCAGAGUCCAAUGUCCUAACCACUAGACCAUGGGACCUACUUGCUCUUGGUCGGCACCAACUACUGACAUAUUGGAUCACAGACAAGGAAAUGUAGCCAUGUAAUGAGAUUAUCAAAUCGAGCUAUCCUAACAACACCACUUAUACUUUACUUCUGGUAAAUUAAAAAGGUAACAUCAAUUCACCAACAAUAUCAUCUAACUAUCCUAAGGUAACAUCAAUUCAAGUGCAUCGAGCUCGACGGAAUCCUGAUUUGACUUUAUUAGAUAUUCGAGUAGGUGUUCCAACAGAGAACGCAAGUAUUAACUCGAUUUCAUGGCUUGUAAAUAGGUUCAAUAACAUGAUUUAUAUUUCUCCUACUCAAAACCGUAUAUAAAUUGUUUUGUCCAGAAUUGUUAGUGGGAAACAAGCUCGAAUCAGCUCAUCCUCCAUGAGAGCUUCAAUGUUCCGGCAUGAACUUGCCUAAAACUUAACAAGCCAUACUAGAGGCAAGGUAAGCUCGACUUGACUCAACUCAUCUCAUUUACGGCCUUGUCACAGGGUACACAACAAUGACUCCAAGAAAACAAAGAUAUGUAAAAACCACAUUAAGAAUUUCCAACGUUAUACUUAACGAGUCGAGCUUGAGUCAGGGUAAAAUUGUGUCAUGUUCUUCACAUAAUAGUUGAAAAUUCAGAAAACUGAAUCAUAAGGUAUACAUGCAUUUGCACUUUCAUCAAUCAGAAGACAAAAACAGGGAAACCUACAUGCCACAAAGACCUAUAAACACAGAUCCUCUUAUUCUCAAUGUAGCAACUUCAAGCAAUUCAACUGCGCAGAUGGGAACAUUAUUCUUUCAGCGGUACAGACUCUCCGACCGGAGGUUCUCCGCAAUCUCCGUCUCCCAGCGGUCGCCGUUCUCGAGUAGCUUCUCCUUGUCGUACAAGAGCUCCUGCAACAAAUGUUCGCAAUGUAAGAGGCAUUGCCGCAUACAAAACUCUUACAACUAUUGUUUUAUGGCAACGGUACUGACCUCAUGGGUUUCGGUGGCAAAUUCGAAGUUGGGUCCUUCAACAAUGGCGUCUACAGGGCAUGCCUCUUGGCAAAACCCGCAGUAGAUGCAUUUCGUCAUGUCAAUGUCGUACCUGGCAGACAAAAGUUUCGAGAUGAAGGAUGGGGGAAUCUAGUGAUGGUGAUAAAAGGAGAGAUUAGAGCAAGUUCUUACCUAGUAGUCCUACGGCUUCCAUCUUCUCGUUCCUCGGCCUCGAUCGUGAUCGCUUGUGCAGGGCAUAUCUGCAAACAGUAGGGGAGAACAAAUGAGGGAAGUCGAGAGAUGAAGAUGAAAAGUAAGAAUGUUGAACCAAUCAACAAACAAAAAUCUCCAAGCUACAGUGAGCCAAAUGCUUGCUAUGAUGCACUAGACUUAAAUGUUCAUGUCUAGCUUAGUUGCUUUCUGAGUUGUACGAGCUUCUAGUCAGAUAAAUGCAUCCACUUAUAUUUUAUAUAAGAUUUGGGGAAACGUUAGGAAUUUGGAGAGCCAGUACUAAUUCUAGUCGAAGGCUAUAAAAGCUUAGUGGCACAAGCAGAAGGAGAACUGUCACUUACAGCUUCACAAAGUUUGCAGGCAAUGCAACGUUCCUCCCCAGUAGGGUAUCGACGGAGAGCAUGCUCCCCACGGAAUCGUGGGCUCAAAGGACCCUUCUCAAAUGGAUAGUUGAUCUACGCAAUCAACAAAGGAAUUGACAUUGUAUAUCCCUUCCCAACACCACCAGGGUAAGCCAAAGACGUCAUGAGAGUUGUAGAAGAUACUUACAGUAACUUUUGGUUCGAAGAAGUACUUCAGUGUCAACAUCAAACCACGGACCAUUUCAGUAAGGAAGAGUGUGUUUAUGCUUCUCUCGAAAACUGUAUUAAGUUUAAUGCUCUAUUAUGUGCUUUACAUGUAACUUGACAAUUGACAUAUGGUAAGACAGAUUUCAGUGAAGAAGUCAUCUUACCAGCAUUCCAGUCCUUCGAUAUUUCCUUUCCAAGCUGCUCUCUCUCCACAUCCUCUACAGUUAGAACAAAAACAUCAGACACGAACAGAAGCAGAAAAUGGACAAUGUGGUAAACAUUGUGGUAGGCAACUGAACUUUUAAAUAUCAUACUUCCGUACAACCACUAAGGUUUGGAUACAUAGAACCGUGCUGCAAACCAAAUUUGUGUUUCUUAUGCAAUACAUAUCCAAGUUGGUAUAGAUCUUUACUCAGCAACCAUGAUGAAGUUUUGAGAUGAUGAUAAACCCAUUGCAAGCAUCUACCCAUAAAUUCAUUUUGAGUUAUGCAUGCUAAAAUUUUCAAAUAUGAGCAAAGAAUAAUACAGUUAGGAUGAAUCAACAUAUGUGUGUGUUUCUAAAUGGUUGAAUAUAGAUAGGCUCACCUCUGUCUGUUGAAAAUAAUGCACUUGAUCGGGUGGCAUACAGAGGUGAGACUCUCAAAGCUGGACCAGACAGAGCCUGAAAGCAAGGAAUGUAGAAACUGUUACACCAUGUAAACAACAAACGACCAAUAGAAGUUCACAAUCCUAACAAAUUUCAAGCAUCCAUGCCAACAUGAGUGCAUGACUGUGAAGGCAACCGAAAAGCUGAUGAAAGUAUCAUAUGAUUACCAAUAGACCAAUGAAAGUAUUAACACACCGUUUGAUUAGUUACAAACGAAGAUAACGAUGCAAUAUUUCAGCUUGUCCAACAGCUACUGAUACUUCAUACUACUACCCAUACAAUGGUAUUUAUUUGAGACCUAUGUUCGAUUACUUUUUAUCACUUUUCAUAACAUAAACAACCCGCAUAUAACUAACAUCUGGACUAUGUAUUAGGCAAAUCUGUAUGGUCAGGGUUGCUAAGACUUACUCAUACCACCGAAACUCUAAACUUGAUAUUGUUAGUCUGGAAAACCAAGUGUCCAUCCAUCAGUGGAGUAGUAAUUAGCUAGUAAACAAAUCUUUUGAGGGCCUUAGAAACCUUUGCGGCUGAAAUCACAUUCUCAGCAGCUUCUUACACGGUUUCACUCGUAAAAAAUGACGAAUUCAGAGACAACUACAGCAGAUUCAUCACACUUCGUCAAGCUGAACCAUUAUAAACGACACAGAUAUAAAAAUUCGGCAUUUUAACCACAUAAAACCCAGGUUAUGCUAUUCAUCCUAUCAGAACACGAGAUCACGCAUGUAGCAAACAAAUUCACUGAUGACAAUAGGAACCCGAGUUUCCAUUUCCUUCCAAACAGCUUCCAACAAAACAGGAACGAAACAGUGGAUUUUAUGCAUACCGUCAAUCGAUAAAACGCAGAGAAGCUAGACCCUAAGAAGAGAUAAACUAAAAUGAAAUCAUCACGACACCGAAACUAGAAAGACCAAUUAGAAGAAGAGAUUUGAUAAGUUUCCUCUCACCAGCUGCCGAGCGCGGAGUGUGGAGAGAGAUUUGCGAGCCAACAUGGAUGCCAUUUCUGUGCCGAUUAGGCGAUCCUCCAGUGUCUAACCUUCUUCUUGUUCUACCUUCGCCUGAGAAACUCUCUGAUUCGCAAGUGUAGAAGAAGAAACUGAGACCAACCAGGUUUGGGUAUGGGUUUCUUCGCUCCAAUCCGGUUUAGGUUCGAGAACCCCACCGAGUUACGCAGAACCAAGAUUUCAGGGAGAUUGGACCGACUUAUUUUGAAACGGUGCGUUUUCUUGCGGCCCGCCUAGAUCCGGCCCAAUUACUCUUUUUUAGGAAAAUAAAAAAUCUAAACAAAUAUAUACAACGUGCUAUUCAAAUCUUCUUAGCCGUUGAGAUCCAACAUCCGCGUACCCAUUAAAUAUUCACCCAUUAUUGUUUAAAUUAUCCGGUUAAAAAUAUUGGUUAAAAGUAUUUGUUGACGGAUAUGGGUAGACUUAAAAUUUACAUAUAUCGGAUAAAAAAUAAGAAUAAAUUUAAUAAUAUUCGUCCCGAUACCCAUCCGACGGAUAUUAAAACUUGUAUUGCUUGUUAAAAUUGAAUGUAUAGCUUGUAAAUGCAUUUACUCAAGUGGUUUUGAUGCUGAACUCACUCUCAUUUUCAUUAUAGUUUCAUCAAAUCAGCAAGCAUUGACAUAUUGUAGUAUUUUCUAUUGAAUAAAAUAAUUUAUUUUUAGUAGACGGGAAAUUACCCGUCGGCUAAAUGGGUAAAAUCAUAAAUUCGUUAAUGGGUAGGUAUGGUUUGAAUCUCAUAUCCGUUUAUACAAACGGAUGAAUACGGGGAAAACCUAACAACUAGACAGGUGAGUGAUGAAUAUACUCAACCCGUACACAUACCCACCCGUCGCCAUCCUUAUAAUCAAAUAGCUAAAUCAAACUUAAUCCGAGUUUUACUGUAGAUAGAGGCUCGGAGUUGAUGACGUUUAAUUGACGGUCUCCCAAAAAUCUUUCUAAUUAUUAAUUUAGACGUGUCUUUUGUCAUGCACUGCAAACCAAUAACAUAUUUAUGUAUGAGUUCAUCGGAUCACAAUCCGUUUCAGUUUUUGAUCUAGAACUCAAUUGUUAUGUAAAAUUUGUAUUAAGAGAUCGAACAAUAUACUUUGUAUUGUGUUGAGCUCAUUAAAUCUCCAUCUAAAUUAGUACCUCAAACCAUUCUAAAUCUAUAGGAACAAUAAAGAACGACGUAUCUUUACUCGAAAACCUUGCCAUUCAAACAAUGAUAGAAUCGGAUUGAUCGAAAACCUUGUGUAGGAUUAUAAAUUCAAGUUAGCACAAAUUCCAAAAUGCACUGAAAUUUCGUCACUCGAAAAAUGAUAAACAUUAACCCGUACUCACCCACCCACCCCACCACCAUUGCUUCAAACCAUGUCCCGCUCCCAGCCAACUUGUUACAACAAUAAAUCAAACAUUCAAUUUCAUCUCUACCCAAUUCCUCACAUCAACCAAUUUAUCAAAACCCAUCUCAUUCCGCCGACACUCGUCGACGAUAGUCUCUGUUUCCCACUACCCCUGUCUCAUGGAUUCACCGGCGGCGAGAUUCCCAACGGCAGGCAAGCCGAUCAGAUGCAAAGGUAUAACAAGUCAUCACUCAUCACCAAUUUGUUUUACAAUUUAACAUAACUACACUGUACAUUAUAACUUGUUUUUUUUUUCUUGUGGAUGUAGCUGCGGUUUGCCGGGAAGCAGGGGAGCCGUUGGUGAUAGAGGAAGUAAUGGUGGAUCCGCCGCGGGUUCGGGAAGCUCGGAUCCGGGUCAUCUGUACGUCUGUUUGUAACACGGAUGUUAGUUUCUGGAGGAUGAAGGAUUCCCCUGGUGGCAAUUUCCCCAUAAUCCUUGGUCACGAAGGAUUUGGGUAAGUCACAGUCAACUAGCUAGUUAACGCCUUUAUCUUUUCCUGAUUACAUUCGGAUUUCUCACACAUGCCUCGACGAUCUCGACUUACGCAGGGUCGUGGAGAGCGUGGGAGAGGGCGUGGAAGAAAUGAAGCAAGGGGACAGACUGAUCCCAGUAUUCCUUCCGGACUGCAGAGAUCAAUGUGCGGAUUGUAGAUCGAGCAAGAGUAACUUGUGCUCCAAGUUACCGUUCAAGAUCUCGCCGUCGAUGCCGAGAGAUGACACGAGCCGAUUCAGAGACCUGGAAGGAAAUUUGAUUCACCAUUUCCUCUACGUGUCUAGCUUCAGUGAAUAUACCGUCAUCGAUGUCGCCCAUCUCACCAAGGUUGAUGAAUCGUCCCUUGCGGUGGCCAAUAGAGCUUGCCUCCUCACCUGCGGCAUCUCUGCAGGUAAGACAACAACGUCGACUACUAUGUUGUGCCGACAUAUUACAAUGAUAAGGAAACGAAAUGUAAUCAAACUACCGGACUAAUUUUAAUCAUCUACUAAAAUGGACAAAAUGGACUACACGUGACAUUUGAAUUUGAUUAAUUUUUCAUGAGUAUUUAUUCCAUCAGACUUCAUAAUCUGAUAAUAGUGUUUUUACGAAAUAUAACUCAUUUCAUCCUCCUUUAAUUUUGUGUUGUGAUUAGGUAUUGGAGCAACUUGGAGAGCUGCAGAAGUGGAUGAAGGAUCCACUGUUGCAAUCUUUGGCUUGGGCACAAUUGGAAUGGCUGUAAAAUUUCAUUUCCACUCCUCCAGUUUGUGUAAAGUACAACUUUUCCUACAUUAAAACUAAUUUCCAUCAAAGGUACUUAGAAAGAAAUUAUGUUACCUUUGACACACUAGGUUGCUGAAGGAGCAAGACUCCGUGGCGCUGGCCGAAUCAUCGGGGUCGAUACAAACCCAGAAAGGUUCGAAAUCGGUGAGAGAAACCGCAACUGCAAAUAUCCAAUUUGUACAUUUUGUGUGUGUUAUUUUCCCUCAUUAUAUAUUGUUACUAUUUAGGGAAGAAGUUUGGCGUAAAGGAGUUCGUCAACCCUGCUAGCAACGGAAACAAGCCGUUAAGUCAAGUGAUCAAGGAGAUGACUGACGGAGGAGCGGACUAUUGUUUCGAAUGUGCCGGGUCUCCGGUUUUAAUGGAGCAAGCCUAUGCUUCGGCUCGCAAGGUAAAAUUGAAUUAGACACGUCCCUGUAGUCUCUAUCUCAUCGUGGAUCGUUAUGGAAAAAAUGUUUCGAGUUGUUUAGGGAUGGGGGAAGACGGUUGUGUUGGGCGUUGGCGGGGAAGGUUCAGAAGUGAAAUUGAAAUGCAUGGAAGUCCUUCAGAGUGGGAAGACACUCACCGGCGCGCUCUUUGGCGGGCUAAAGCCGAAACCCGACAUCCCAAUCCUGCUCAAACGUUACAUGGACGAGGUAUAGACCAAACUUGAUGCUCCCUUUAUCUUUACUUCAGUGUAUCAUAUAUAACAGAUUGAUGUUUUUCGAAACGGUUAAUCUGUUAGCCAUGUGGGUUUGGAUGGGUAACCACAAGAACCGAUAAGCUAGCGAGUCUUAGUCCGGGACAUCGAAACAUAAGAAGAGUUACCCAUUAUUGUUGUGUUUUGGUGAUCAGGAGUUAGAUCUAGACAAGUUUGUGAUGGAGGAAAUGGAGCUCAAGGACAUCAACAAGGCCUUUGAUCUACUUCUCCAAGGGAACUGCCUUCGUUGUGUGAUUUGGUUAUACAAAGGAGAAUAGGGAGAUCAUCGAGCCAUCGGUGUUAAUAUUUUUCAUACUCUUUUACUUCUCGACAAGACAUAUUUAUUGGACUAUUAUUAAUUAUUUUUAUAUUUUUUCAAGCAUAAUCAUUUUAUGUCACAAAAUGUGUAUUUGAAUAUUUUCAAUAUUGACGAAAUCAAAGAUGAUCUAAUACCGGUUUUUUCCCUUCUUAAAUAGCUCUUUGUGAAAAUAAUAAACACACAACCUCAGUUAUCUAUCAAGUAAGUGAGGACUAGCAACACUUUUUAAAAAAUAUCUAAAAAUCAGACGUAUCACUGAAUGGACAACUCAACCGGCGCACAAUCUAAAGCCGGAAAAGCCCAGUGAAUGAUGACCUAAUACCCGUUGUAUGGAUUUGGUUGUCAUCCGGUCAUCCCUAAAUUCCGUAAAGCCCAGUGAUCAAUGAAAUUAUAAUGCUUUAUGCUUGGCCCAAUAUUCAUUAAGCCCAAUUCUGCGACGGUGCUGAAUCUGGAUUCCCAUUCUUUCCCAGUUCCCACUGUCUGUGAAAUCAUCGAACCCUUUCUCCGACGGCCUAAGCUUCUUCAGUCCCUCCCGUAAUCCGUCCGCCGCAAAUCACCAGGUAACUUCAGAUCAAUCUGGUUUUAAACCUCACUAGGAUGAACCUUAGUUCGUUUAGCAAGUUCAUGCCUGUUCUUGAAGGUCGAUAUACACGAAAUGGUGGUGAGGUUGUUUGGUUUCUCAAGAACAAUCGAAGUCGAAGUCUUGUCUACUGUAAUUGCAUUGUUCUUCGUGAUGAAUGCUGCAGUAUUACUAUAAAGAAAAAAACCCAGUUGAAUUGUUCUUGAUGACGAAUUCUGCAGUAAUAUUACCUCAGAAUUCAGAUCAAUCUAGUUCUAAAACCUCAUUACUAGGAUGUACCGCAGAUUGUUUAGCCAGUUCAUGUGAAUUGCUUGUUCUUGAAGGUCGAGAUAGACGAAAUACUGAUGAUUUUCUUUGAUUUGUCAAGAACCAGGUCUCUGUCUUCUUAAUUGCAUUGUUUCUUCAUGAUCUGCAUUAUUAGUAGUUAAUUGAACAAACCAGUUGCGUUGUCCUUAAUUGCAUUGUUUUUCAUGAUGAAUGCUGCACUGUUCUUAGUUUAGUUCAGUCAAUCUAGUUUAGACCUCAUUAGGAUGAACCGUGGAUGGUCCGUCCGUCUUCUUAAUUGCAUUGUUCUUCAAAACGAAUUGCUGCAAUGUUCUUCUGACGAUCCAAUCCGAUGUUGGAUAACCAGAUUGAUUGCAGAAUGAAGAAAGGAGCACACCCACAAAUGCAAUGGAUAUCCUAUGUGACCCAGAGCGGCAGACUGAUGAAUGUUAUGAUGACCAAAAUACACAACACUGGUAAAGUCUACCACUUCAGAGCAAAGCGCCAAAUGGCUGAAAGUCUUGGCCAAAUUGCUAAGUUCAAGCGUCGCUACGGUGGUCAGGACGAGAACCAGGAAGAAGCUGACAAAAAGUAAAUCGAGCCCAAAAGGAGCAUAUUGAAGUUCGGCUCGGCUAAACAAUGAUCGUCGGACUAUUUUGACGAUGUUGUCUUUGUUUUGUGAUUCGGUUGCACCAAGGAGAUUAGAAGGAGACCAAUCGAGUUAUCCUUCUCUAUGAUUAUGUACUCUUUUUGCUUCUUUGGGAAACAAUGGUCGAUCAGACUGUUUUGUUGAGUUUGUCUUACUAUUUCCCUUCUGAAUUAUAUUUUUGGACUGGAUUUGUCUUCAUUUAAUGAUUUGGUUGCACAAUGAAGAAUCAGGAAGAUCAAUCGAGCCUUCUUCGACAAUAAUAAUCCCAUCAAAAUUCAAAAUCUAAUCGAGUUGGUAUCGGAAACGUUCGGAGAAGAACCUCAUGUCCGAUUUUACUUUUUUGUUCUAGAUAUGAAGACAACAAAAUAAAAGCUAAAUAAUAUAUGUGUUCAGGAUUUGAACCAAAUACCUCCACUUAUUUCCUACACCAGAUUGCAUUAUUUCCGCGACAAAACGACGCCGUUUGCGAAGGGGCUAAUCGUAGGGUUUAAGCGGCCUGUCUUUUGAUUCCAGUCUGUCGAUUCUCUGUGCAACAGAAAACAAUGGCUUCAUUUUGCAGGUCAGCUCUAAUGGCGACCUUAAGGUCUCUAACGAUCGAACCAAAACCCUGACUCGGAAUUCCUUCUUCUCCUCCUCUUCUUCCCCUGCAUUCAGUUUACCUUGUACAACCCGAGUUGUCCGAAGCUCUUCAAGGUAAUUGAAGCUUUCCUCCCCGUCGCUCCUCUCACUGCACUUCCUCAAUUUCUCACUUCACGAAUAUGUAGGGUUGUUUCGAGUAUCGGGAGCGUGGAUUCAUUGAUUCUUUUUCAUACCGCCACAGCGAAUUCCCUGCUUAUAUCCAACAUUGCUGCCGAUUCCUAAUCUCUAAUCCUUGCUUUGGUCCAGGCCUCACGACGCCAUUGUGACAGCACGUUUCGUUCGUGGGGGGAUAGUGAAGUUCGAAAGGAAGACCUGCAUUUUCCUAUUUCGUUUGGUUCUUGGUAUUACUGUAUCGAACUUGUUUCCCUCAGAUGAUCAUUGCUGAGGACUUACGGAUUCUUACCACCGAUAACAUCUGCUAUCAAUCGACGGGUUUGAAGGAUGAUCUUUCGCAAUGCAGUUCCGUAACUUUUAAGGUUUUUUUUCCACGCAUAGUUUCUGAAACUAACUGCUAGAGGCGCAAUGAUGAUUGUAUUUACUCUAUCGACAUGGGACCUUCACUCAGCAUACUAAAUCCAUUUCAUAAAGCCUUCAAUACUGGGGUCAUAAGUACUUAAGCAUUGCCAGAUCCUCAAAUGUGAACUUGCAAACACAACUAACACAAAGGAGAUUGCGAGAAAAGACAGCAUUUACAAAUCAUCGUCACCGUCGUAAAAACAACGCAGCAGCAGCGUAGUCGAGGAUUAUACGACGAUCGGCACGUCUUCUAGGUUUAUGUACAUACUUAGAUUCAUGAGUCUCUAUAUAUUUACAGACUACCAAACUGCCAAGUUCUCAAAAGUUUAUUCUUAGACAAGUCGGAUAUUUCGAUGUUCUUCACAAAAAGCAUUCGAGGAGUUCAGGACGAAUACCGCAAUAAGCAGCUACUGUUCACCGAUCUGCUGACGAGGCUGAUCUUCAGGUGGAGGGCGAGUUGCGCGGCGGAACCAAGUGUUGAAAGCGGAGAUCAAGUGGGGGCAAUCAUCAACGUUACGAGUCGACAAGCUGAGGCACUGCUGAAGCAGUUCCUGUGAAUCUGACAUUGGAAGGGUUGAGAUAAUUCUUACGAAUGUCUCCUCAAGCUCCAGAUACAGUGCUUUGUGGCCAGGCGACAUUGGUGAGACCUUGUCUUUGCAUAUUAUCAGAACUGGAAGCCAGUCGCUUACCAGCUUCAUCCUCACCUACAACACAGCAUCAAUCAGAACUUCAUCUAUGGUUCUGUAUCAUCACAAGCUUUACCAUUUCUCAAUCAGAAGAGACAAUGCUCGAGACAGAAACAGUACAUUAUGAACGGGACAUCCAGUACCGUACCUGUCUAGCAGCAAGAAUGGUUCCAGUAGCAACAGCAGAGGCAAGCUUGUAAGUGCAGCGGAUCAUAAUGGCAGGAAGCCCGGGAACAAUAUUCCUCCAAACAUCAUCCCUAAAAGCCCUCUGCAAAUCAGCUGUAAAAGCAGACUGCUCACUCCAUUCCUUCACAGCAUUAUCCGCUACUCUCAGCUCGAUCAUCCUCUCCACUAGCCACAGCAGCUGCUUCCCAAUGGUCAUGGCCGUGUGCAGAUUCAACCGCUGUAUGGCCUCUAUCUCGUUGUGGUCUCCUCUGACAUCAGGGCUUGAGUACUUCUCCAACGACUCCUUCACAACCUUCAAGCUCGUCUGGAAUGCCUUCUCCAAUACUGUCCUAGCAGCGUUCCUCGAAGAGAAAUCCCUCAAUAGCUUCGCCACGAACGCCUUCACGUAGGCCAUGUUUGGCUGGUUGUUGGUUGCAGCGGCGGAGAUCAAACCUUGAAGCAUUUCCUCGCAGGAAUCCUCCUUCGCCGGGGAAAGUCUGGCUAGGAGAUCUUUAGAUUCGUCCUCGCUUAGGAACGGAACCAGCUGCAGUACUCGCAUUUCUUCCUCUUCGUUCCACGGCACCGCUUCAAGGAAUCGCACGCAGUUGGAGACGCAAUCCUCGAACAAUAACUCCAACGCCACAGGUAAUAGAUCAAGUGCGGCCGAGACCGAUGUUAUCACCGACGGGAAAUCGUUCGUGUAUAGAAGUUCCAUUACAGCUAACCUGAGAUCGAUCGAGCCAGGUCUAGGAGGAACGCCGAGCUUCAGGUGCUUCGGCCUAACCUCGGCAACGGAAUCGACACCGUCGUCGUGAUGCGAUCCCUUCUCAACGCCAUCGUUCCGCUGCCAACGAUCGGAUAACAGGGCCGAGAAAUACUUCGCGCGGCGGAGGACGUCGGAAUGGAGGUAGAUCUGGACGUCCGACAUCUCAUCGAUGAUACAAGAAGAGCCGGAACUAGAAGCGUCGUCGCCGAUGGAGAGGGCUGUGGGGUCGACGUACAGGAGGAGCAGCACAUCUGCGGUGGAGGGAUCAUUAAACGAGAUAAUGGAGUUGGUUGAAGAAGAACAAGAAGACGGUGAUAGGAGGUGAGGAUGAGAGGACGUUCGACGGAUCUUCUGAGACGUUUCGCUGAUUGUUCUGUCCGACAGGGUUUCGACGAGGGCUGAGGUGGACGAGACGCGAGCGGCGGCGAAUUGGCGGGGGGGGGGGGCCGUGCGCUGCCGUUUCUUAGGGUUAAUCGGGAACAUUUUCUUUCGCCGGAGAAGGUUCUGGAUUUGGUGGAGGAGACGGAGAACGACGAUAGGGGUUUUUUUAGGAAGGGGGUUCAGGACACGUGGCGGGUAAUUACGCGAGUGAAUGAUUGUGUGUGGGAAGAUCAGUGUUUAGAAACGUAAGUGAGACACGUGUCUGGUUAUUGUCCCUCGGAUUUGUUUACUUGAGGAAUGAAGACUAAAUUAAGGGCCAGAUGGAGACAGGUAAAAUGGGGUUUGCCACAUUUUAGUCUUGUCAAAUUAUGAUAUCGGAUAAGAUCGGAGAAUUGCCAAUAGAUACUCUCGUCGGUCUCCUCUUUCUCUUUUUCUUUCCUCAUUGCAAAGUGUAAUAUGGAUGUUAGUUUCAAGUCGUUGGAGUAUCGUUGGGUUAUAGUAUGAUUUUAAGAUACCAUGGAGCGUUUCAUUUUACGGGCACUUUUAAGGUUCGGGAAGGAGAAGCAGUAGUGUAAUUUGAGGCUAUGAAUUAGACGGUUCGUUCGUCAUUAAGAUGUUGUCUUCAAAAUAGAUUCGGUCGAGGUUGCGAUGGAAAUAUCGAGUAGCACACACGUAGCAUUACAGAGUUCGGCCACAAUAUAGUCCCUUAUAGUGAUUUUUUGCUUGUUAGGUCUUUAUUUCGCUUGGUUAGUGUAGGAACGAAGUCGUUCAUGAAUUUGUUCAGCGAUCCUUUUACUUUAGCAUUGCCAAUUCUUUGACAUACAACUCUUCUUUAGCUCGAACAUGCAUUUUCAAAUAAGUGCAUGCAUCUUGAUCAUCAAAAUUAUGAAGGUGACUUUGCUUUAAAAAAAAAUUAUGAUUUGAUUUUUAAAAUUCAUUAGGAAAAAGGACUGAAAACUUUUGUAUAAAAAAUAAGGACUAGAAACUGAAUCGAACAAAUUGAUUUUUGAAUUUACUAUAAAGUAAGUUGUGAAUUUAUUGUUUUUAACCUUUACUAAAAAGCCAUCGAGUAAAGAUUUACAAUAAUCGAUAGUGCACUAAACAAGAAAGAAAAUUGUGAUUUACUCUUCAAUAAUAUUUACCAUGAUAUUCGAGUUGGGUUCGCUAACAAUAGUAAUUUACAAAUCAAGCUUGAGCUAGACACAAUAUAAAAUUUUCUAACGAAUCAAAUUUGAGUAUGAUAAAAUUCGACUUAAUUCAUAAGUGAUGAAUCGGGAAGUCUAUCCUAUUCAAUUGAGUUGUUUUCCCCACAUGUUUUAGUAGGAAAAUUCAAAAUGCUUGGAGGUCGAUUUAUUCUAAAUUUCUAGGAAAUACUACGUCAUCAGAUUAUUAAAGACGAAAUUGAAAAUUGAAUUUAGCUUCCAAAGAGCUCCCAUGCCUGCCUGCCUUGAAUGAAUGCCAUGCAGCAUCUGCCCUUCCAAAAUCAGCUAACAACAAUAACCAAAGGCAAAACCAAGGUCCAAUAAUGCAAACAUCGGGGUCAUCCCGGCCUGGAGUUAUGAUGCAGCUACCUAGCUCACUUUCGAAUUUUGAACUUCGAUUAUACGUAAUAGUUCCAAUUUUUCGAAACAGAUAGGUUACACCAAUUUACUUAAAUAGAUAGGUGACACCAAUGUAAUUUUCCGAAUUCGCCAUAGUUUCAUUACUCGAUCUUGCAGAGAACAAUGAGAAAAAGAAACAAAGCAUCAUUAUUAUUCAGUUGCGUAUAGCCAAAGGAAGUGAGGAGCUGACCAAAUAAAUAUUCUAAAACUCGGAUUUUACCUUUUUUAUGACCGGUUUGGUCGAGUUGGUUAGACCAAUGUGGAUUUGGCAAUAUUGAGUAACCGAAACUCAAAAUAAAUGAAUAUGAAUUUGGAUAUCUAUCCUAUAUUUGAAUUUCUAGUAAUCGAGAGACAACAUUAACUAGUAACCGUGUGAGAAAUUUACACGUUACCAUCUCAAUUAUAUAAAAAUAAAAAAUGUAUAACAUAAAUGAAUAAGAUACUAAUUUAUUACAUCUCGUAACUACUUACAAUCGUUUCGAACAAUCACCCGCAUAAAUAAAUUGAUUAUCACAAUCAUAUAUAUCUUGAAUAAACCCUCGACUCCGGUUCAAGCUAGCCCACGCCAUGAAAGGCCAAUUUCACCAUUGUUGUUAUAAAUUAUCAAGAGAAAACAGAGGAAAAAGUCAGACCAAUCAAUCUCAACGAUCUCAGAGCUAUGGCAUCAUUGUCUUCUUCCUCUUCCUCUUCCUCUUCAUUUCUUUCCUUUAUUUAUGUUUAAUUCUUCAUUUCUUUCUUUUCUUUCCUUUUUCCCUUUCCCCAUUAUUAUAUCCGUUGAAGCUCCUCCCCUGUCUUCUUCUUCCAUCACACUCCUCACUCCCUCUACUCCGCCAUCCAGAACUCCCUCAAACAAUGCCGGCCGAACGAGCAAACGCCGGCAAUGAGCUCACUUCUUCCUCGCCGACGUUUCUAAACCUCAAGCUCUACAUCCUCAUCGGCAUCUUCUCCGCCUCCCUCAUCUUACUCUGCCUCGCCGUAUUCCUCUGCUUCCGGCUUAACCACCUCUCCCGGCGGCGCGUGAAGCACAGCUCCGGAUCCAUCCCUUUAGUACUCUCCGAGAUCAGCACCAACAGUACCACGAACAAGGAAUCCAUGGAUCUCGAAGCUGCAAACGGCGACGUGGGUAAGCUCGCCUGUACCGAAUCCCCCGUGAAGAAUCAGGAUGAAGUUAAAGUGCCCGUCGGGGGAAAUGAGUUGACGGCGGUGGAGGGAUGGGGGAGAUGGUACGGGUUAAAGGAGCUGGAGACAGCGACGAAGGGGUUUGCGGCGGAGAACGUUGUAGGAGAAGGAGGAUACGGCGUCGUUUACAGGGGAGUGUUGGCUGAUGGCUCUGUUGUCGCCGUCAAGAAUCUCCUCAACAACAAGUGAGUUCUUUUUUUGGUGUACUUACUCUGAAAUUUGUCGGUGAAAGCAAAUACCUUAUCCCCCUUUUACCCUUUUGUCGCUUUCAUUCAUGAUUCAUUAAUGGUGGUGGGUAUGUGAUUUUGGUAAUUUUGCAGAGGACAGGCAGAGAAGGAGUUCGAGGUUGAAGUAGAAGCCAUUGGCAAAGUACGGCACAAGAACUUGGUUGGCCUGAUUGGCUACUGUGUUAAUGGCCCUAGCAGGUACAUCAUCCAACUUUCUUAAUGUCUGUAAAAAAUCAUUGAGCUAAUUCUAUAAUUUUCUCUGGUUUCAGGAUGCUGGUCUACGAAUUCGUCGACAAUGGCAACUUGGAGCAAUGGCUGCACGGAGUUGAUGAACCCAUUAGCCCCUUAACAUGGGACAUCCGGAUGAAGAUCGCCAUUGGCACUGCCAAAGCGUACUGCGCAGACAGCUAGCUUUAGUUGCCUCUACUGUUCAUUAAUUCUGCCAAUUUCUGCUGUUUAUAAAUCUCUGCGUAUAACUCUGUCUCCACAGGCUAGCUUAUCUACACGAAGGGCUAGAGCCAAAGGUGGUGCACCGUGACGUGAAGUCGAGCAACAUCCUCCUCGACCGUAAGUGGAACGCUAAAGUCUCCGACUUUGGACUGGCCAAGCUUUUGGGAGGCGAAGCUAGCUACGUGACUACUCGAGUCAUGGGAACAUUCGGGUUCGUAAAGCUUUCUGCACAUAUUUUUAAACUAUUUCAAAUAUUUUUCGAGCUGGUUGGAUGGGUUACAUUUUAAGGUUAAUCAGGUUACGUGUGAUGAGCCAAUCGUGUUAUGUUGUGGGUUACUCCAGUUAUAAAUUGAUCAAGUGAGGAUUCAAUUAGACAACAAUACAUUUGAGUGCGAAUUUUCCCGACUUUCUUGUUGGGGGAAUUAGGGUUGUUGAAUUUUAUUCAACUCAGGUUACAAAUCGAGUUGAGAGAAGAUUGAGUGUCAUAAACUUUUAACAGCUCUAGUUCAUUGUAAUAACUACGAAUCAAAUGUGUAUGUUCGGACUAGAGUAGCACAUAGACAUAUGCCAUUUUUGGAAGUCAUUAUCAUACACUUGAAACAAAUUCGUGAGGGUUGAUGUCCAAAAUGGACAAUGACUUUGUUGACUCAAUGAAAUCCAUGUUUUCCCUACUCAUUGCAGAUACGUUUCUCCCGACUAUGCAAGCACGGGAAUGCUCAACGAAGGGAGUGACGUAUACAGUUUUGGAGUUCUUCUCAUCGAGAUCAUCACAGGGAGGAGCCCUAUCGAUUACUCCAAACCGGCUAGCGAGAUGAACUUGGUGGACUGGUUCAAGGGAAUGGUGGCUAGGCGUCGCGGAGAAGAGCUAGUUGACCCUUCGAUUGAAGUUCAGCCAUCCCCAAGAGCUCUGAAAAGAGCCUUGCUGGUUUGCCUUAGGUGUAUAGACUUGGAUGCCUGCAAAAGACCAAAGAUGGGGCAGAUUGUUCAUAUGCUUGAAAGCUAGAUUACUUCCUUUUUCUUGUUACUUGGAUUCCAAGUUACUGCAAAUGGGGUUUACUCUCAUUAGUCAUUCAAGCUAUGUAUCUUAGGUUACAAAUCAUUUCGUAAAAGUUAUAAAUUCUUAACAGAUUAACCAAUCGAAUAAAUUUUAAAUGAAUCGUUAACCAGUAAAUGUCCACUCUAUUUUAGAUAGGAUGAAAUCCAAAUAUUAGUUAAUUUUAUUUUAAUUGUCUUUAAAAAGUCCACAUAGGCCAGAACAAACACGUGGCGAGACAACAUUCGUUAAUCCAGCCCAAAAAAGGAGGAAAAUAAGCCCGCCAAAAAAAGUAGAGAAUUACAUCUCAAUCCACCAUAUCAGCAAUCCUUUUUUCUUCUCUCAAUUCUUCCCCAAAUUGAAACCAGAAGAGAAAUGAAACAAUUUCCGACUGCGCAUUCUUAAAUCAUCCAUACGAUUAUCUCACAAGUUCGCCAAAAAUAUCGAUCGGAGUGAUUGAUCCUACUGCGAUGGAGGAGAAGCUGAUCGCUAGGCUGGAAUCGGCCGUGUCGCGGUUGGAAUCGCUGUCUUCUUCUCCCGGCUUCACAUCCCGGGACAUCGGCGGUGGAGAUUUCGUUUCCUCGUCUCCCGAUCAGUCGAUUCUGGCAUUUGACGAUCUGAUCCGCGAGUCAUUCGGUAGGGUUUCCGCCGCUGCGGAGAAGAUCGGGGGACAGGUCCUGGAGGUUACCAAGGUAAUUGGUCAGGCUCUUAAUGUCGAGAAGGAUCUUCUUGCAAUGAUCAAGCAAACCAAGGUAACGGUUGUUCUUCGUCGAUGCUCGAUCUCCAUGAUUGAAUGUGUACGAACAGUGGUGGUUUUUUGGUUUAUUCUUUCGAAUAUUUUUUUUGAACAGAAACCUGACAUGGCGGGAAUGGGUGAAUUCAUGAGGCCUCUAAACGAGGUGAUUGGGGAAGCGAAUGCGAUGACGGAAGGGAGGAGAUCCGAUUUCUUCAACCACUUCAAGACUGCUGCCGAUAGUCUUUCGGCUUUAGUGUGGAUUGCUUAUACUGGCAAAGAUUGUGGUAAACUGAAGCUUCGUUUGCUGGUUUUCUGAAUGUCUCUAUCGCUAUGUUUUAUUGUAUUGCUGUUGUUGAUUUGGUGAAAGGUAUGAGUAUGCCCAUUGCACACGUAGAAGAGAGCUGGCAGAUGGCUGAAUUCUACAAUAACAAGGUAAAUAGUUUACAGCUACAGCUCUGUUUGUAAAUGUGUAUGGGGAGCUGAUGACUCUGUUAUGAACGUAGAUUCUUGUGGAGUACAAGAGCAAAGACCCAAAUCAUGUCGAAUGGGCGAAAGCUGUGAAGGAACUCUACUUGCCGGGUCUGAAGGAUUAUGUUAAGAGCUACUAUCCGUUGGGUCCGGUAUGGUGUGCUACUGGAAGAUCUGUAGCCUCUAGGCCAAGUGCUCCUGCUCCUCCACCAGCUUCUCAAUUCAGCGCUGAAUGUUCGAAAGCUUCAUCAUCAAAGCCAAAGGCGGGCAUGGAUGCUGUGUUCCAAGAGAUCAAUUCUGGGAAACCUGUAACUGCAGGUAAUGCCAACUUUAGUAUUCUGUUUAUUUGCUGUUAGUGAAUGUAUGCGCUUAGAGUGAGGACCAAUGUGUUGAUUUAUAGGUCUGAGGAAGGUCACAAACGAUAUGAAAUCCAAGAAUCGCGCUGAUAGGACUGGUGUCGUUGCUACCACUGAGAAAGGAGCUGCUUCUUCAUCUUCGUCUUCUUCAAAGAAGACGGGACCUCCUAAAUUUGAGCUUCAAAUGGGUCGGAAGUGAGAGUUCUUUCUCUUCAUUUGUUUCUUCCAUUUAUAUAUUUUCCUCCUUCCAGCUGGCUAAUAUCUUACUAUGUCUCCCAAUUGACUGAAUCUUCUAACAGGUGGGUUGUUGAGAAUCAGAUUGGAAACAAGAAUAUAGUCAUUAGCGACUGUGAUGCAAAGCAAUCAGUGUAUAUGUUCGGAUGCAAAGAUUCUGUUCUGCAAAUUCAAGGUAAUUGUCUAACAUUUACUGUGAGCUUGAUCAAAUUCUAUGUCUGUUUCAUGCAAGCCAUGUUGAAGUUAUCAUGAAGAUAGAGAACGACUAACUAGUAAGCUUAAGCUAUCUCCUUCAUUGUGCAGGAAAAGUGAACAACAUAACCGUUGACAAGUGUACUAAGACCGGGGUGGUAUUUUCGGUUAGUAUGCACUCUUAUCAUAUUAAAAAUACUGAAGCUCACUUUUGAUCUCAUAAGCUCACUCUAUUCCCGUCAAUGCGAAUGCAUAGGAUGUCGUAGCUGCUUGCGAGGUUGUAAAUUGCAGCGGCGUUGAAGUGCAAUGCCAGGUACAACUCUUUACCCCACUUUUGUUCAAUUAUCAACAGAACAGGAAUCCUCUAAGAUUAAUCCCAACAUCAUUUGAUUUGGUGCACCAUUACUUGGCUUAUAUCAGGGUUCAGCUCCAACCAUUUCAGUGGACAAUACUUCUGGCUGUCAGUUGUAUCUGAGCAAGAACUCCCUAGAGACGUCCAUAACCACCGCAAAGUCUAGCGAGAUCAAUGUGGUGGUGCCUGGUGCUGAGCCUGAUGGUGACCUGGUUAGUCUAUCCCUACAAUCUUCCAUCCCCAAGUUACUAACUUGGACCACUAUGUCUCUUAGUAUAUCAUCUCUCCCCAUAAGGGACCGAGUAACACAUUCGACACUCGAUAUUGAUUAGCUAGACUCUUAUAACGUCAACAAAUUCGUGGAUUGAAUAUUGCCUCCGAAUGCUCUGGAUGUUUCUAAUGUCAUUAAGUAUCACAUGAACAAAUCGGUCCUGCCUAUGAGUUAAGACAUAACCAGGGGGGUUCCGCUACAAUGUGCAGGUAGAGCAUGCUUUGCCACAGCAGUAUGUUCAUCUGUUCAAGGACGGCAAGUUCGAAACGACGCCGGUUUCCCACUCUGGAGGGUAAUUUCUGUUCAGUUGGAGUAUCCUAACCAAAGGUCUCUUCUUUCAGAGGAGUUUUUCCAUUUUUUAUGAGUGAUUGAUUUCUGAUAUUCUGUUUUUGCUUCUUCUUUUUAUUUAUAUUAUUUUCUUCUUUCAAAAUUUGUUGCUUAAAUUUGAAUUUGCAUGUAAAAAUCAAUAUCGCUGGAAAAUCUUCCAGGGUUUUGCUUUCCCACAUUUCAAGUCUUUUCGAAAGACUCAUUUGCAUUAGAGUGAGAGCUAUUGCUAUUAGUACAAACCAGGCAACAUAACGUUUACAUCUGUUAGGCAUCAAAGUGAGAGCUACUCGAACUUGGCGUGAUUUGAGAUAUUUAAACCUAUACACUCAAUAAAUAUGUGACUUUUUCUAACUCAUCAUCCAAUUAUACACAACUUUGAAAGUAGUUAAAUGGAAGGUUGUAGAGUGGAGAAGAGUAGUUGCGAAUCCGGGGAUAUGAAGACAUUUGAGUUGGGUUUCCUCGUCGGAGAUAACACAAUAAAUUCAAUGGCAGGAUCAAUUUCUGCUUUAACGACAUCAUAGCUUAGAAACACUAUGCUCGUAAUGUAGUGGUCGGCCUUGGUAGGUUAGGAUUGAAUCUCAAACACAAUAUGUAUGUAUAUUCGUAUGGAUAAAUUGGUCUUUCUCAGUUAUUUCAGUUCGAGUCAAUUAACUUAAUUGAUUCAAGUUGGUUGACAAUUACUACGAAUCAAAAGUGUUGAUUCGUUUAACCAAAAUCGCGAAGGACCUUUUUGGUGUCGAAUAGUGAUGUCGGCUAAGGAGGAAAGUUGUGAAGCUUUGACGUUGCUCAUCUUUUGGAUGGUGAUGCAAUGUUGGAUUUGGGAAUCCCCUUUUCUUGUGGUCAACCACUACCAAUUCUACAAUUCAAAAGAAACUCUAUAAUUUCUAUGUAAAUUAUAAUACAUGGAGAGCAAAUAGUAAAUACUGGUCCAACAAUCUUAGUGGUCUCCCAUUUUGGACAUCUAAAAUAUUUUAGGUACGGUUUUUAUUAUUAAAUUUUAUUAUUGGAAGAAAGAAUAUAUACGAGUCAUAGUUUGGAAUAUAUUUCUGAUUAGAGAACUAUCAAGCCUGAAAGAUGAAUAAUAUGAGCGUCAAAAGAUAGUAAACCGUAAAUUUUCGUACAGAAUCUUAUUCAUUAAGGGAAGUUAAUUUUAUUAUAUAAUUUGGAAAAGCUGUAAAACUGAAUAUUCAUAUGGAAAAUUUAUACUCACAACCUGGAAUAGUUUAGAGAUAAACUAUUCAAAGAUAUUCUACGUAUAUUAAUUACAUUAUACACGAUAUACAUUUAUGUACUCACUCGUUUGAUCGGUCGAGUCUGCUCAUUUCGAUUUCGAUUACUCAAUUUUCAUAUAUGAAGUGUCAAUGCUACAAACCAUCUAUUAUUUUAUUACAAUAUUAAAACUCAUUAUAAAUUGCCAGAAAAAUAAAUGGACGCACAUUCCUGAAACAGCCGUUUUCUAACUUUCCUACUCUGUUACUCGGAAGAAAGCUCCCAACUCCAACAAAGAACAACAACAACAACAACAACAAGAAGAAGAACAAGACGGCAAAAUCAAAUCAGAUUCUGAGCUUCCAAAGCCCAAAUCCGCCGUAGACUACGAUGCUAAUUCCUUCUCUCUCCGCCGCCUUCCUCCUCCUCCUCCUCCACCACCACCAUUUCCCUUUCGCAAGUAAGCAAUUCUUCCCACCUCUCUCUCUCUCUAUCUAAUGCUUUCUUUCUCACUUCCCAGAUUCGGUAUCUGAUUGAUUUACAAUUUCCCCUGUUUAUUUUUUUCCGCCAGAUUCCCAAUCGUUCAUCGGAGUCAACUACGGUCAAGUUGCCGACAACCUCCCGCCGCCGCCUGCCACCGCUAAGCUCCUCCAGACAACCACCGUCCAGAAGGUCCGCCUCUACGGCGCCGAUCCGGCGAUAAUCAAGUCCCUCGCCAACACCGGGAUUGGAAUCGUGAUCGGAGCAGCCAACGGCGACAUCCCGUCGCUCGCCGGCGAUCCCAACUUUGCGGGCCAGUGGGUCUACACGAACGUCCUCGCCUUCUAUCCGGCCAGCAACAUCGUCCUUGUCACCGUCGGCAACGAGGUCCUCCUCUCCGGCGACCAGGGCCUCGUCUCUCAGCUCCUCCCGGCGAUGCAGAACGUCCAAAACGCUCUCAACGCGGCGUCGGUCGGCGGGAAGGUUAAGGUCUCCACGGUCCACUCGAUGGCGGUUCUGGGCCGGUCCGACCCGCCGUCUUCGGGCUCGUUCGACCCGAAGUUUGGAGACACGAUGAAGGCUCUGCUGCAGUUCCAGAGAGCGGUCGGGUCACCGAUUGCUGUUAAUCCGUACCCGUUCUUCGCGUACCAGAGUGACCCGAGGCCGGAAACGCUGGCGUUUUGUCUGUUUCAGCCCAACGCGGGGCGAGUCGACUCGGGGACUGGGAUCAAGUACAUGAACAUGUUCGAUGCUCAGGUUAGUAGUACAAGAGUCAAUCCUCUAUUCAUUAUUUAUUUAUGUAGUUUGAAUUUAGAUUUUUGAACUUGAUUAAUCACAUUAAAUUUGUCUGAUUAGUCCACCUAAUCAAUCAUUAAUCAACCAAGGUAAAUAAAUAGUAUAGAGUAGAGCAUAAAUUUGUGUGCAUGGUUAUUUAGAACCACCCUGCUCGGUUCAAUUUGACGAGUUCGGUUCUAUUUGGUCAACACAUCCCGGGGUCAGACUUGUAUUUUAUUGCCAUUCCUGCUCGAAAACCAUACAAAUAGUAAAUAUCGAGUUCGAAUCCAAUUCUCCAUUAUAUAACUUUAAUUAUUUCUGUCUAUUUCGGAAAAAAGUGUGAUGGAAUGUUCAAAUUUGAAUCUUUGUCACUAUUCACCAAACGGGCGGUUGGCAUGUUUUAUAUUUAAUUGUUAACUAAUUAGUAAUUAGUACAGUGACAAAAGAUUGUUCAUUAUAUGUGUGGGCCGGAAGUGGGCCCAGGCCCAGACCUAAUCUCUGGUACCCUGAGCCGGAAGACAAGCAUUACGUGCGACAGACGCAUGUGAUGUGAUCACCGAUUACAAAGGCUAAGGUUGUGUUGGAUGAUUAUAUUUGUCUGUAUAUGUGGAAGAAAACGACGUAGGAUCGUUGACGAAUUAGAUCCCGACCUUAUGGGGUUGGUCGCCCAUGGCAAAAGGGGCAUGAUGACUUGACGCCAUCCUUACCUUUUCUCCGGCUUGUCACCGGCAGUACUCUGGCUCAGGGUCCCAAACUCAACGGUGGACACGGGGUUGCGCUCGUUGCGGGACUUAAUCAACAUUGCUUCUUUUGUUUUUCUAACCCAUAGUCGUUUUCUUUCGAUUUUGAAUGUCAUUUUCACAUUGUGAUUGUAUCGAUUGAACAGACUCCUGAUCUUACUCAUUUGUUUUGGUUUUAUUUUUUUACUGGUGCGUACAGCCCAGCAUGGGCCACUGCUUGCACCAAAAAAAUCAAUGGCCUUUUCUCCAAGGGUCUUUCUAGUCAAUUAUUAUAUUAGGAGGGUGAUUAUUGCACAUUCAGAAAGGUGGAGGAUGGUGGACCCUAAGAGAAACUAAAUAAUGUGGAAAGAACGCAAAUAUUCCUCAUAGAGUUUGGUUUUGGUCUUCACUGGAAUUUGUCCUCUGCGCACUAUGUAUUGAUUAAAUGAAUCAUUUUCCUAUGAUGAAUUGAUGAUUCUGUUCGCCAAUCAAUCAUUUUGGCUCCAAAGUUCGAACUUUCGAAUUAGUGGCCGAAUCACUAUGCUAAGAUGCUAAGACAAUAUGAUAUUUUGCAGGUUGAUGCAGUAAGAUCGGCUCUGAAUGCAAUGGGGUUCAAGGACAUCGACAUUCUUGUCGCGGAGACGGGCUGGCCCUACCGUGGGGACCCGAAUGAAGUUGGACCGAGUAUCGAAAAUGCCAGAGCCUACAACGGCAACUUGAUUGCUCACCUUAGGUCCAUGGCUGGAACUCCGUUGAUGCCGGGGAAGUCAGUUGACACUUUCCUCUUCGCUCUGUUUGACGAAGACCUUAAACCGGGACCUUCCUCCGAACGUAGCUUCGGACUGUUCAAGCCUGAUCUUUCCAUGACUUAUGAUGUUGGUCUGUCCAAGACCACCAGCCCACAGGUAAACAGAGCUCUGUACUAUCAUUAUCUCAUUUAAACCUUGAACGGUUAGUCUUGACUCGUUCUGAAUUCGUUCCCUUUUGGUUAAAUUUCAGAGUCCACCGCCAUCAGUAUCGUCGAAAACGCCAUCUAUGCCACAGGCCACGCAGUGGUGCGUGUCGAAGCCAGGUGUGUCCGGGGCCCAGUUGCAGGCGAGCCUGGACUAUGCGUGCGGCCAAGGAGUAGACUGCACCCCUUUGCUCCCAGGAGGAGCUUGUUUCGAGCCGAACACUGUAGAGUCUCAUGCUGCUUAUGCAAUGAACCUCUACUUCCAGAGAUCGGAGAAGCGUCCUUGGAACUGCGAUUUCUCGCAGACUGCUGCCUUGACUUCCAAAAACCCUAGUGAGUUCAUUACUGUUUGAAUUUGUUCAUUCAUAAUGUUGAGUGUUUGUUGCUUUGUGUGAAAUGGAUUGUGUUUUUGUUUUUGGUGUUUUUGCAGGCUAUAACGGAUGCAAUUACCCUGGAGGUAGUACAUGAUUUUAUAUGAGUGAUGGUUAACUGUAAAUUUUUUUACUGUAAUAAAUUUGGGAUGAUCAAGUGCUGAUCUGGAAAUCUAUAGGAUGAGUGAUUUCAUUCAUAGUUUGGUGUAUUGGAUUUACAAUUCCAUAAAUUUAGAAGAGGAAAUGAGUAACUUGUGCAUUGACCAGGUUACCCUCUCCCAUUCACCACUUCUUUCAGGUCUCGUCCUCAUCUCUCUUUUCUCUUUCUCUGCAAGAUCAACUCCCUCAUCUCCUCCCUCCCUCAUUAAAUUAAGAAUCAAUCAUCUGAAAUGAGUUUGAUACUACGAUACUCUUUCUCCGAUCUGCUUUGCGUCGAAGCAGUGGCUCUCCAUCCUCGACGACCCUAACUUCAUCAAUUGCCAAGCCGACUGUGCUGUUUCCACAAACACCAAUGCUGCCCUUUCAACCAAGGCAGAUCAUGGCAUAAUCUCUUCUGGAAACAAAAGUUUGUCGGCAGGCGGUACCAGAUGCUUCUCCAACCCGAUCCAUCUUCUGUUCAGCUCAGUGUUCUUGAUCGGUUCUUAUCACGGUCUGGUAUGCUUUUCUCUUUUCACUUAUCGGCAUGAUUUCGUAUUAGUUAACCCAUCAACUGGGGAGCAACACACACUAAGAAAUCCCUCAAAGGAAGGAAAAGAAAUAUUAGGGCAUAAACCGAAAGAGUAUAUAUGGUUCGGAUACGACGAGUUAUCAGACGAUUAUAAGGUGGUCAUGAUUUUGGAAACAAGCUGGUCUGAUCCCCGCAAUCGUUCCUAUAUGGCUGAAAUUUACGGAUUCAGGUCUUUACGACGAUUCCUCUGCCCAAUGCAGAGUGGAGGAACUCCGAUUGUAAGUCAAUGAGGAGUACUAUACAUGGCAGUAGUAGUAAUGGUGAAUUCUUCAGUAUACUAGGUAUACCGAAACUUUCGGUGUGUCCAGUUUUUUUUGGUAACGUAAAUUCAUCACCAACGUCCAUUUUCAGUUUGCGAUCUUGACGGUUUACAAUUAUUCGAAUAUCAAAUUUCUAUUUCACAUUUUAUUUUUGAUCUCAUAUAUUAUCUCAAUUUAUAAACUAAUCACUCUCUUUAAUUCCUAUAUACCAAUUGAUACAAAAAAAUUUAAAACUAUACGAUAAUGAUGAUAUGUUUAAUUUUAAAGAUUUUCAAAUUAGCUAAUUUCUUAAAAAAAUAUAAAAAUCUAAUUAUGAUGAACUUGAGUGUUAGCUCCCUACGUCUUAAACUCCUAAUACUAGACAUAAUUAAUCCUUUUUAUAGACUACAUUCAUCCACACAAAGUGAUAAACAACUAAUCAUUUAUUGUUAUUUAUUUAGCUACAUACACAUCAAUAUCAUUNNNNNNNNNNNNNNNNNNNNNNNNNNNNNNNNNNNNNNNNNNNNNNNNNNNNNNNNNNNNNNNNNNNNNNNNNNNNNNNNNNNNNNNNNNNNNNNNNNNNNNNNNNNNNNNNNNNNNNNNNNNNNNNNNNNNNNNNNNNNNNNNNNNNNNNNNNNNNNNACAAAUAUUAAAGGAAGAACAAAGGAAAAAUAACACGGAGAAUUAACGUAAUUUCCGAUCUUGAGAUCGACUAGUCCACAGGAUAAGGAUGAAGUUUUAUUGAAAUAAUGAUGGGGAGGUAAUAGAUGUAAAGAUACAAGUAGACGAGGUAUAUAUACUUAUGGGAUUAGGUUAAUUAGCUAUACAUAUUAAGUCACAAGUCUAAUAGGACAUAGGGUGACCCAAUAACUCAUGGGUUAUCAACAAUAGUCAUCAUUACGCUGAUAGAGGAAUCGAUCAUUCAAUUGAAUUCGAUGCGUUAAUCAACUGUGCAAAGCUUAUAGGGUCCGUGUAUCUUAAAUUUUCACUAAAAAAUGGUUCAACAACCAAUCUCGACCCGUUUUGAAUUAGUUGAGCCGGAUUCCGAUACAAUAAAAUAAAAAAUACCUCGAUUUGUAACUCUGAGCAUGCUCAUAGCUACGGCCAAUGGGAAAGGGAUAGCCUCCGCAACCAUAUUGCCCAGCCUAAGUUCAACUGUGGCCUAAAGUCAUUUGGAUUUUCUAACCCUUUGCCCUGCAUGCAGCACUACCACUUGGCGUAAUCACAGGUCUUACACGUGUCCUUUUGCACUCACACAAUAAUGUCUCACCAUCACUUUCCCAUUCCUCUCACGCUCCCGCCUAGCCGCCAAAAACAAAUCAACAUACCAUCAUCAAUCCACAAUGAUCCCGCAAAUCAUCCGCCGCCGACGGCCGAGAAUUCCGACGACAGUCUCUAUCAUCCUGCUCCAUCUAUUCCUCUUCUCGAUACAGGGGUUUCGAUGAUGGAGGACAGAGCUGGGGAGGAUGGUUUGUUUGCGGCGGAGGAGGAGGCGGAGACGAUGGACACUAGCGGUUCGCUGGAUGAAUUUGACUGGAGGGACAAAGGAGCUGUAACCGACGUCAAGAUGCAGGUGUAUAUGCGUUAUAAAUUAUUAAUUAUCAGUCCUUUGGCUUCUUUUUAUUUCCCUCAAUUUUUGGCCAGAGGAGAAUCUUUCCCGUUCGAAACCGGUCGGAAUAAUCUUUCGUCGGCGAUUUGGAAGUGAAGGAAGAGUGGAGUAAAAGUUGGCUUUCGCCUAGCCGGUUCAUAGUAACAAGGCCAAAAGCCCAUAUUAUCUAUUUUUUUAAACUAUACAGGCCGCUGUCAUUUAGGCGGAGCAAAAUGGCGCGUGGGCCUGACAUGGGCCUGGGAAAUGCGGCCUGGCUCAACAAAACGGAUUAACUCCUGGUGGCGCAAAAAUGGGCAUUUUCAGACGUCUUUGGGGAAGGGUCCAGCUCCAAUCCGAUUUUGUAUGGAUCCGAAAUUUCGGCUGACCCGACCCGACAUUGGCCCAGUUAUUUUUGGGCCAGCUCCACAUCGCCCCGCUCAAAAGCUCGAAAGCCUUAAAGCCCUCUGACCCGACCCGCCCAAAACCCGACGACCCGGUUCGUUUUACGCGUGCAUUACACGCUCCAUUGAAUGCGAGUGGAUGUUAUUUUCGAAAAGUGAAAUCCCACGCGCAUGUGUAGUUUACGCGCCUAGAAAUUCACGCGCCAGCGUGCUGUACACGCGCCGGCCUGCUAUUUUUCCUUCUUCUCGUUGUUUUCCUCGAUUCCUCGUCUCGCCGGCCGUUGAAUCCUCUCGCCCUUAACUUCCUGCCCUUAAUCCUCUGAUGAUAACACAGUUCGCCUAUGGAAAGUGGGUUAUGAUAAUCGAUUGCCUCAUGGUUUUUCAUCAUAAUAACUACGGUAAUGCUUAGACUUGGUUACUUGGGUUUCUUCGAUAUUUGUUUUCGGGUGUCGCUCUUUCGCUGAUUGUUGAGUUCUGAUGUUGCAGUAAUGUGUGUUCAGUACAAUCCAGUGGAUGAAGACUACUUCAUCAAUGGAUCUAUAGAUGGAAAAGUUGGGGUCUGGGAAGUGUCUGGAUGUCAGUUAAAUCGCUUACCGACAUCAGAGAAAUCGUUUUAUAGACAUCAGAGAAAUGGUUGAUGCAAUCGCUUGCCGUCCUGCUGUAGAGAUUUGGAACAGAAUAUUUCUUUCAUUUCCUAUUCUUUCUGGGGGCAAGAAUGAAUCUCAAAGAAUCUAACUUUGGGAGCUAUUGUGGGAAAAAUGUCUGGAAACUGCAUUUUCUACGAGAUCAUAGGUGCUUGAUUAUGUUCUUAAGCAGCCAAAAUAACUGGUUGUUUACACAUAUGAAACCAUUCCUUACUCAUAUAGCAUUUCAUUCUCUUUGAUUAUAUGCAGAUAAAAUUUAAGAUUAUACGGUAAUGGCGUUACCUUUAAUUUUAGAAGUUUUCAAAUUGAUUAAUUUUUUUUUAAAAAAGAUAGAAAUUUAAUUUUGGUGAACUUUAGUGUUACUCUCCACUUCUUAAAACCAUAAUACUCGUCAUAAUUAAUCCCCUUUGUAGAUUACGUACAUCCACAUAAUCAAUGAGGAAUAACAAAUAUUAAUGGAAGAAUGAAGGAAGAAUAACAUGAAGGAUUAACGUAGUUUCUGACCUUAAAAUCGACUAGUCGACAGGAGAAGGAUGGAGUUUUAUUGAAGUAAUGAUGACGGAGAUAAUAGAUACAUAGAUACAAGUAGAUGAGGUAUAUAUACUUAAUGAGAUUAGGUUAAUUAGCUAUAUAUACACUAAGCCGCAAGCCCAAUAGGACAUAGGCAUCAUUACGCUGAUGGACGAAUCGAUCA